UGAGGAACAUGACCUUCGGCGGGGGAUAGCCGGCCCAACGGCCGGGUAAUACCGCGUACGACCUUUCGGGGACAUCCCCGGAUGGUGAAAGCAGCAAUGCGCCGAUGGAGUGCCUCGCGGCCUAUCAGCUAGUUGGUGGGGUAACGGCCUACCAAGGCAACGACGGGUAGCUGGUCUGAGAGGAUGGCCAGCCACAUUGGGACUGAGACACGGCCCAGACUCCUACAGGAGGCAGCAGG
rnacentral:rRNA from 1 species